rnacentral:lncRNA from 1 species
UUAGAUUAAAAGCAGGUGGAGGAGGAGGAGCUGCUGUGGAUGGAGGAAUAUGAGGUAUCCAGGUUCUUGGAUCUCCUAAAUUAAAAGCCGGUGGAGGAGGUGGUUCAGAAACAGAUGGUGUUGGUGGAAAUGGUGGAAUACGAGGUAUCCAAGUUCUUGGAUCUCCUAAAUUAAAAGCCGGUGGAGGAGGUGGUUGAAAAAGAGAUGGUGUUGGUAGAAAUGGUGGGAGUGGUGGAAAUGGGAAAGGCAAAGCUGGUGGUGGUUGUGCAACGGGAAAAGGCCAAGGUGGAAGCGGUGGAAAUGGGAAAGGCAAAGCUGGUGGUGGUUGUGCAAAGGGAAAAGGCAAAUGUGGAAGUGGUGGCAAUGGAGGAAAAGGGAAUGG